GGGGCCGUAGUGUAGCUUGGUCCAGCAUACCAGCCUGGGGCGCUGGCGAUCGUGGGUUCAAAUCCCACCGGCCCCA
rnacentral:tRNA from 1 species